GACUGCCGGUGACGAAACCGGAGGAAGGUGGGGAUGACGUCAAGUCAUCAUGGCCCUUACGGCCUGGGCUACACACGUGCUACAAUGGUCGGUACAAAGGGUUGCCAAGCCGCGAGGUGGAGCUAAUCCCAUAAAACCGAUCGUAGUCCGGAUCGCAGUCUGCAACUCGACUGCGUGAAGUCGGAAUCGCUAGUAAUCGUGAAUCAGAAUGUCACGGUGAAUACGUUCCCGGGCCUU
rnacentral:rRNA from 1 species